CCUAUUGUUCCGUCAAUAGUAGCCUACGGUCACGUGCGUCGCUCAAAAGGCGGGGUGCGAAGCUGGCCGGACAAAGUAGCCCUUCCGCAAGGAGAAGCCCGAACCGCGAGGGAACGGCAACUGCUCUUAGCACAAAAGAGUCGGGGAG
rfam:Alistipes finegoldii CAG:68 genomic scaffold, scf65